GAACAGGAAUACGAAGCCCAGCACUGAAUCCCGCCGUUUUCAAGGGCGGCGGGAGAUGUGGUGUUCGGGAGGUUCCGCUUUCUCGUCGCGCCCACUCCUGUCCAAGUUCGUCUUGAACGGGGCCGUUUUCCCGUAGAGGGUGCCAGGCCCGUAGCGACGGAGGGACGCGGCGAGAGGGACUCUCCUUAGAGUCGGGUUGCUUGAGAGUGCAGCCCUAAGUGGGUGGUAAACUCCAUCUAAGGCUAAAUAUUACCGCGAGACCGAUAGCGAACAAGUACCGUAAGGGAAAGUUGA
rnacentral:rRNA from 1 species